ACCGAAAUAGCACAGUUAGGAGAGCGUUAGACUAUAGAUCGAAAGUCACUAGUUCGAUCCCGGGUUACCGCA
rnacentral:tRNA from 1 species